rnacentral:rRNA from 1 species
GAUGAACGCUGGCGGCGUGCCUAAUACAUGCCAGUAGAACGCUGAGGGCAGGAGCUUGCUCUUUCCGGGUGAGUUGCGCACGGGUGAGUAACGCGUGGGUAACCUGCCUGGUAUCGGGGGAUAUCUAUGGGAAACGAUAGCUAAUACCGCAUAACAGUAGAUUUUGCAUGACAGCUAGUAGAAAUGCGCAAUUGCUCCACUACCAGAUGGACUUGCGGUGUAUUGGCAAGUUGGUGAGUUACCGGCGCACCAAGGCGAGGUUACAUAGCCGAACUGAGAGGGUGAGCGGCCGCACUGGGACUGAGACACGGCCCAGUGUGCUACGGGAGGCACCAGUAGGGAAUCGGGGGGAAUGGGCGGAAGUCUGACCGAGCAACGCCGCGUGAGUGAGGAAGGUUUUCGGAUCGUAAAGCUCGGUUGUAAGAGAAGAACGCGUGUGAGAGUGGAAAGUUCACUCUGUGACGGUAUCUGACCAGAAAGGGACGGCUAACUACGUG